UUUUUGCAAUUUUCUUAUUAUCAAUUCCAUUCAUUUAUUUUAUAGAAUACUUUUUUAUUCUAUAUCUAUAAAAAAUCUUUAUUUUGUAAACUAAAAAAUACAAUAGUCAAUAUUCCUUAUAAUAGAUAUACUUAAUUAUAUCAUAAGAAUCUUAAGAUAUAUUUUGAAUAGAUAGAAAUAGUAAAUUUGAAUUGAGACACAUAUUCUAUGACAGAUUUUAACUUACCCUCUAUUUUCGUACCUUUAGUAGGCUUAGUAUUUCCGGCAAUUGCAAUGACUUCCUUAUUUCUUUAUGUGCAGAAAAAUAAGAUUGUCUAGAAACGACGGGGCCAAAUUUUCUCAAUGUAUUUCCAGGAUCAUAAUACAGAUAUUUUUUGUGUAAGUACUAUAAUAUGAUAGGGUAUGUAGCUCUUUCUACACACAAAUGAAAAACGUCUAUGGAUGCAGAUAUAAGCUACGAGCAUAAAUGCAUGCAUAUGCGUAGCCGACUAUAGCGAGUUUUUUUUUAAGUGGAUCCACUAAUUUUUUUUGAAUAGAAAGUCAAUGUAUCUAACCAAUUAUUUCACAGGAGUACUAGCUACUGAAGGCUAUUUCAGAAUCAAAAAAAGUAAAGUAAAAAUCAUUUAGCUUAUUCUCUCAAUUUCAAUUGACCGCUACUGGAUUUAGUAUAUCUAAUAUGAAUUGGCGAUCAGAACACAUAUGGAUAGAACUUCUAAAAGGUUCUCGAAAAAGAGGGGGUCGUGAUGUCUUUCUACGGAAUCGCAGGCCUAUUCAUUAGCUCCUAUUUGUGGUGCACUAUUUUAUGGAAUGUAGGCAGUGGUUAUGACCGAUUCGAUAGAAAAGAGGGAAUAGUGUGCAUUUUUCGUUGGGGAUUCCCUGGAAUAAAACGUCGCAUCUUCCUUCAAUUCCUUGUGCGGGAUAUCCAAUCAAUUAGAAUUCAGGUUAAAGAGGGUCUUUAUCCUCGUCGUAUCCUUUAUAUGGAAAUCCGGGGCCAGGGGGUCAUUCCCUUGACUCGUACUGAUGAGAAGUUUUUUACUCCACGAGAAAUUGAACAAAAAGCUGCCGAAUUGGCCUAUUUCUUGCGUGUACCAAUUGAAGUAUUUUGAGUACCAAUUGCAAUUUUUUGCAAUUGUAAGGGGAUUUUCGAGUAUUUAUCUAAAGUAAAGGAAGGAACAAACGAGGAUAAGAGAAAAUUGCUUCGAAUUUGUUUUGUCCAAGUGAGAUAUAUGGCAUACUAUUCUUCCAUUUUUAUACGAAAGGCCUUUUUUUAUUUCUCUAUUCCACUCCAUUUAGAUCUAAGAAAGAACCCAAUACAAUGAAAUUCCACUAGUAUACAAAAAGAGAAAUAGAUACAAACACAAGGUCUCAAACCUUGUUAUAGAAUUUUUGCUUCAAAGAAAAGAAAUAUCAUAUAUAUUCAGCUUACAGAUCAAAAAUGAAAAAAAAGAAAGCAUUGCCUUCUUUCUUAUAUCUUGUAUUUAUCGUACUUUUGCCCUGGGGAGUCUCUUUCUCUUUUAACAAAUGUCUGGAACUUUGGAUUAAGAAUUGGUGGAAUACCAGGCAAUCCGAAACUUUCUUAAGUGAUAUUCAAGAGAAAAGGAUUCUAGAAGGAUUCAUAGAAUUAGAGGAACUUUUUCUCUUGGACGAAAUGAUAAAAGAGAAACCGAAGACACAUGUACAAAAACUUCCUAUAGGAAUACACAAGGAAAUAAUACAAUUGGCCAAAAUAGAUAAUGAGGAUCAUCUCCAUAUCAUUUUGCAUUUCUCAACAAAUAUAAUCUGUUUGGCUAUUCUAAGUGGUUCUUUUUUUCUGGGUAAAGAAGAACUUGUCAUUUUGAAUUCUUGGGUUCAGGAAUUUUUCUAUAACUUAAAUGAUUCAAUAAAAGCUUUUUUUAUUCUUUUAGUUACUGAUUUUUUUGUUGGAUUUCACUCUACCUGCGGUUGGGAACUACUAAUUCGUUGGGUCUACAACAAUCUUGGAUGGGCUCCUAACGAGCUAAUUUUCACUAUUUUUGUUUGUAGUUUUCCUGUGAUUCUAGACACGUGUUUGAAAUUUUGGGUCUUUUUUUGUUUAAACCGUCUAUCUCCUUCACUUGUAGUCAUUUAUCAUUCAAUUAGUGAAGCAUAAACUCACUCAUUUCAUUUCCUAAUAUUAAUCAAAUUAGCAUAUUUCUUUUCUUCCUUUAGAAAUGGAAAGAAAGCCCUUUUCCUUUUUAACAAAAUUCUUUCUAUUUCUACCUGCUCAAGGUAUUCAUCAUUCUAGUACAACUAUUGCAGUAGAAUGACAACAGACUCGUGUAUAGGGAACUAGAUUAGCUUAGCUACCUAUCUAAUUUAUUUUAGAAAUUCCGGGAUCCGCGAUUGGACAUGGAAAAUAGAAAAACUUUUUCUUGGUUAAAGGAACAGAUGAUUCGAUCGAUUUCUGUAUCGAUCAUGAUAUACGUAAUAACUCGCACAUCUAUUUCAAACGCAUAUCCCAUUUUUGCGCAGCAGGGUUAUGAAAACCCGCGGGAAGCAACUGGACGAAUUGUAUGUGCCAAUUGCCAUUUAGCUAAUAAGCCUGUGGAUAUUGAAGUUCCCCAAGCAGUGCUUCCUGAUACUGUAUUUGAAGCAGUUCUUCGAAUUCCUUAUGAUAUGCAGCUGAAACAAGUUCUUGCUAAUGGUAAAAAGGGAGGGUUGAAUGUGGGUGCUGUUCUUAUUUUGCCCGAGGGAUUCGAAUUAGCGCCGCCCGACCGUAUUUCUCCUGAGUUGAAAGAAAAGAUAGGAAAUCUCUCUUUUCAGAGUUAUCGUCCCAAUAAAAAAAUAUUCUUGUGAUAGGCCCUGUUCCCGGUAAGAAAUAUAGUGAAAUUGUCUUUCCCAUUCUUUCCCCCGAUCCCGCUACAAAAAAAGACGUUCAUUUCUUAAAAUAUCCCAUAUAUGUAGGGGGAAACCGAGGAAGGGGACAGAUCUAUCCUGACGGUAGCAAGAGUAACAAUACGGUCUAUAAUGCUACGUCAACAGGUAUAGUAAAAAAAAUACUACGUAAAGAAAAGGGGGGAUAUGAAAUAUCCAUAGUGGAUGCAUCGGAUGGACGCCAAGUGAUUGAUAUUAUACCUCCCGGGCCAGAACUUCUUGUUUCAGAGGGGGAAUCAAUCAAGCUUGAUCAACCAUUAACAAGCAAUCCUAAUGUAGGAGGGUUUGGUCAGGGGGAUGCAGAAAUAGUGCUUCAGGAUCCAUUGCGCGUCCAAGGCCUUUUGUUUUUCUUCGCAUCUGUUAUUUUGGCACAAGUUUUUUUGGUUCUCAAAAAGAAACAGUUUGAAAAGGUUCAAUUGUACGAAAUGAAUUUCUAGAUCCUGGGAUUUCUUACCAUCAAGUGAGAAAAAAGCCUCGAUUUCUGGAAUUCCUUAUUUCUAUCUCAUGCAAAAGAAGAGGAUCCAAGGCAAAGACGAGAACAAUAAAAGGAACAAGUCCUUUUAGGAGGAAUUGUGGGUCUUCUUAAUCCUCUAUUGGGCACAAGAAAAAGGCUUUUUUGCCUUUUUCUUGUGUCGAUUCUUCUUGUAUCGAAGUAAGAAUCAUUUUUCUUCUUAUUUGUUUUGUCAAAGAUUACUAUUUAUUCUUUAUUCGGGUCUGUCUUUUGGACUUCCUUUGCUUAGGUUCGGGCGCGGUAGUGGACAAACAGAGGGAAAGAAGGUAUGGCGGGGGACACAUUUCUUGUGAGCAAAUAGAAUUGCUUUACUUUUUGAAUUAAGUUCAACUUUGAACUUACAGAAAUUUUGUAAAAAAAAUCUAUACCCUCCCAUGGAAGGGUGGUUUUGAUUUUUAGGCUAGUUGAGUAGUUUUGAUUAAGGUUUUAUUAGUUUAUUACUCUAAACUAAAUCAACGAUUUGCAGGAUACUUCCUUCAUGGAAUAAAAUACUGGAUCCUCUCCCCUCUUUCUUGUUGCUUCAUAAGAGUGAAUCCAUUUUAUGGGCGAAAGGCGGGGGCUUUAAAUCGACCGAUGGAUUGCUUCACUCACUAACAUCAUUAACAAACAAAAGAAUAAAUGGAGGGAUUCCAACCAUCAGAGCAAAGGUUUUCUCUUUGUUAUUUUUACAAAUAGAAAUAGGUAACCAAUUUCUAGAUUAUGGAACAAAACCGCGUUAUAACAAUAAGAAUUCCGCGGGCCCUUUCCGCUCUAAUCAGAUAAAGGGGAGUAAGGACCCGCUAAGUUCCUACUUUUUCAUGUUUACAAUCUGGAUCCUCCGAUUACUAUAGAGAUGAACCCAAUCCAGAAUACGAACCGUAAAAGAAAACACCUAUUAAACCAAUCACAAGAAUACCAGUUACAGUACCUAUCAGCCAAAGAGGAAUUCUUCCAGUAGUAUCGGCCAUUUCCCCUACUUUCCUCCACAUUUUCUCAAGUGGUCAUGCUAGAGACAAAAACAGUCAUGGAUAGUUAUAAAGAUGGUAUCCUUCCAAAUGGGAUAAGAGAAUUCUUACUACUCUCUUUCUUUCUCUCAAUUGAAGAAGUAAUUGGAAAAUAAAACAGCAAGUACAAAAAUGAGUAAUAAACCCCAGUAUAGACUGGUACGAUUCAAUUCAACAUUUUGUUCAUUCGGGUUUGAUUGUGUCAUAGUUCUAUAGUUGGAAUUUGGUUUAUCGUUGGAUGAACUGCAUUGCUGAUAUUGAUCCCAAGAAAAAAACCGUGGGUACAGCUAAUCCGUGAACAGCCAGCCAUCGCACUGUAAAAAUAGGAUAGGUUCGAUCUAUGGUCAUUGGGGGCCUCCUAAAAGGAUCUACUAAAUUCAUCUAGUUGUUCUAAAGAAUCAAAACGGUCGGUUAUUAAUGGAAUUCCUUGUCGGCUUUCCGUGAAAUACUCGUUUGGUCGAGGACUUCCAAACACGUCAUAAGCUAAACCCGUACUGACAAAUAACCAACCCGCAAUGAAUAGGGAAGGUAUAGUAAUGCUAUGAAUAACCCAGUAUCGAAUACUGGUAAUAAUAUCAGCAAAAGAACGUUCUCCCGUGCUUCCAGACAUGCUGAGCUCCCAAAAUUUUUAUUCAAAAAAGGAAUUGAUUCCGUAAAAGAUGGGAUCCACCAGUAAAUAGAAAAUUACUGAUAUUUCAUCCUUGUGAGAUUGUCAAUUUUGUACCAAAGGUGUAUUUUGAGUAUACCGAAUUAGUAUAGCUAUCCUUCCUAUGGCACAGCAAUCCAGUUUUGCUUGGUCCCGAAACAGAAUUCCUUUUUUCUCUUUUUUGUUCCUUGUCUAUAGGAAAAUUACAUGUUAUUCAAGGCAUCAAUAGAACCCCACAAUUUUUUGGGUCCUACUUAUUUUCAUUGUCUUCGGAAUAGUAGAAUAAUUUAAUUUGGAAUAGCGGCCAAGAUCUUGGGAAAAUCUAAGUUAAUGAUUAAUAAGAUAAAGAAUUUAGGAAGGAUAUUCUCAUAUUGACGCAAUACAAAGAUAAGUAUAUGCAAAAUCGAUCCUUUUUUAGUUAAAGGAAUUUAAUUGGUUAGCAUAAAAUAAUAUCUAAUAAAUAGAAAAUCGAAUAGCGGAUAAUCCGUUAUGAAAGAAACGGAAUACAUUCUUUGAAGAAUCAAGAUUCGUAAUCAAUCCUUGUCUUGUUUGUUGGAUUAGGUCUAAUUUUCUUGACCAAACAGCAAGCAUGGAACUUUACAAGAAGAACUUAAAAGAAAAGGAUAAUUGAAGUAACUUUGAAUCCACUUUUGUUGGGGUUCAAAAAACGAAUAAAAAUAAAUAAAAAAAAGUAAAUUUAAGGAAUAGUUCCCUUUUUGAGGGGGCCCCUCGGGGGUCGUGGAAUGCUUUUCUUCUCCUCUUAUUCCAUAUGGAAUACAAUGAGUUAAAAUUUGCUCCAAAAAGAGGAUGAAAUCCAUCCUAUUAAAAAAGAAAUAAUCCGAAUCCGAAAUAGAAAGAAUUUUUUUUUUCAAAUUCAAUUCUUUAUUUAUCUUUUAUUCCAAAAUUCUCCCGAAAAUCCAAUUUCAUUUUUCAAUGGGGUUAGAUGAUCUAGUUCUUAAUAUUAUUAGUUUACUUAACUGACAGAUUCCACAACAAAUCUCUUGAUUCGGAAUUAGGGACUCAUGUUCCGUCUGAUGAAUCGAUUUUCUCUUUUUUUUACACUUCUGUAUCUCACUCUAUCUUGUUUUUUAGUAUUAUCUAAAAUAACCGAUGAAUUAUGAAUUUUCCAUAACUUAAACUUAGGUAAGUGCUUUACCAACAUAUGUAGUGUAGUAAAAAAAAUGGAAUUGAACCCCUUCAUGCUUACUAUAACUAGUUAUUUCGGUUUUCUACUGGCUGCUUUAACUAUAACCCCAGCUCUAUUUAUUAGCUUGAACAAGAUACGUCUUAUUUGAAAUGAAUUGAAUAGAAGAAUCUUUCUUUUGGAUUCUUGGUAUUCUAGACUCUUUUCCACACUAAUUACCAAUUCUUUUCUUGGUCAUUGAGAUUCGUGGGUAGUUUAGACUAUUAUUUAGAGAUAGAUCGUACCUCUUUUUUUAUCCCCUCGAACAAAUCGAAAUGAUUGAAGUUUUUCUAUUUGGAAUCGUCUUAGGCCUAAUUCCUAUUACUUUAGCGGGAUUAUUCGUGACUGCGUAUUUGCAAUACAGGCGUGGGGAUCAGUUGGAUCUUUGAUUGAGUAAUAUUUCUUUUUUGAUUGACCUCCUCUCUGGUCUGGAGGAGGUCAAAUUGGAGUUGCAAUUCUACUUUGUUUUUUUUUAAGUUAUUUUAGUUUCGACAUAAGAUAUAUGGAAUCACGCUCUAUAGGAUUUGAACCUACGACAUCGGGUUUUGGAGACCCGCGUUCUACCAAACUGAACUAAGAGCGCUUUCAAAACAAAAAAAAAAGAAAAUCCUUUUCUAUUCCUAACGUGUCUCACGUCCGUAUAGUAUCCACAAAUUCAAGUUAUACCCACUUUAAUCGAUCUCCCCACUACUGCCCAUAACGAAGAGAGAAUUAAUAGGUAGGGAUGACAGGAUUUGAACCUGUGACAUUUUGUACCCAAAACAAACGCGCUACCAAGCUGCGCUACAUCCCUUUUCCAAAUUGUUGUACAAUGCCAUUGUACACAAUUCCUUUCUUGUUUUCCACAUCGUAAUUUUCUUCUAUUUCUUUAUCCAUAUAGAACUUUCUUGUCAUUUCUUGUUUUUGGUCUCAUAUAAUCAAGGAAGGGGUAUAAACUAAAAUCCAGUCAAAUUUCACCUAUAAAAGAAAGACUACUAUUCCUUAGUAAUGUAUAGGAAGAAGGGGUCAUCUUUUUUAGGGAUAGGAAAAUCUCGUCUAUACGGUUCAUUCUAUAUAUAUAUAAUAUUUAUUUUGUUUUUUUAGUUAGGAAUUUCGCCUAAACAAAAGAAAUACAAAGGAUCUUGGGCAAGAGUAUCUGAUCAUAUAUGUAUUCCAAUACGGAAGGAGGAUUUUCAAUGCGGGAUAUAAAAACAUAUCUCUCUGUAGCACCCGUGCUAAGUACUCUAUGGUUUGGGGCUUUAGCAGGUUUAUUGAUAGAAAUCAAUCGUUUAUUCCCAGAUGCUUUGUCAUUCCCUUUUUUUUAUUCUAGUUAUUCCUAUGCGAGAGAUAGAAUUCUUCGUGACAUGACGAAAAUUUCCCCUUUUUGAAUUCUUUUUUAGUAUAUGAAGCAAAAAGAAAGAAAAGAUGGAUAAGGAUUGUAUUCUUUAAUUAUUUCUCUAUGUUUUAUUACUUAAUUUACGAAUUUCAAAAAUUUUGUAUUCUAUUGGAUUGGAUUUGUUCGAGAAUUCGAAGAAUUACAACAAAAUCUUUAGAAAUCACAUUUUUAGUUAGGAACUUCUAUGGAUUUUAUUCUUCUUCUUUUCUUUGGAUCCAAAAUAGAAGAAUAAAAGAAUAGGUAUAAGAAUUAAGUUAAGUCGAUCCAAAAAGGAAAGGAGGUUCAUGGCCAAGGGCAAAGAUGUUAGAAUCCGAGUUAUUUUGGAAUGUAUUAGUUGUGUUCGAAAGGGUACCAAUAAGGAAUCGACGGGGAUUUCUAGAUAUAGUACUCAAAAGAAUCGCCACAAUACGCCCGGACAAUUAGAAUUAAGAAAAUUUUGUCGUUAUUGUCGCAAGCAUACCACUCAUAAUGAAAUAAAGAAAUAGGAGCAUCGUGUGUUCGAUUUUUCCAAAGAACAGAAAGAGUAAGAACUUCUUAUUAAAUAUAUAGAACAUAGAUAGAAUACUAAAUACAAAUCAACUCAUCUGAUUUUAGGUAGAUAUUAUUUCAUAUGUAUAGAGGGUUUUUAUUUUUAUAUAUUUGGAUUUUUUAUAUUUUUAUAUAGUAUAUUUUGAUUUAAUCAAUUUAUAUAGUAUAUUUUGAUUUAAUCAAAUAAUAUAUGGACCAAAGAAAGACUACUUCUUCUGGUUCUGGAUCAAAAAUUAAUAAAAGAAAGAAAU